UUCUCUUUUCAACACACCCAACAAAGUUUAAAGUGCAUAGGUAAGUGUUCCAAUCAAUUCUCUUCUUCUUCCUUGGGGAUACAAUCCUCCAUUUUAACUAUAUUUAUGUUUCCAACUUCCAGAAAUCAAGCAGAUUCAGAUCCAAAUUCAUUGUUAAAUUGUUGAUUCGCAGAUCCAACUUUGUGAGUUAAGAAAAUUAUCAAGGUUACCUCCUACUUUCUCCAUACAUUCAUUUGUUAAAUUUCAAAACUUUGAUUCAAAUGAAAACAGCAGCUAACACACGCAUCCAUUACCACUUCUUUUAGACUAUAAAUGUUUCAAUUACAUCAGCUUAUCACCAUCAGAGAGCCACCAACAGAAUAAUACACACGCACACAUUUUACUAUAUUCUCUAAUCUAUUACAUGUACAAUCAGUUUUAAUAAAAAGAAAUGAAUGAUUGAAAGACCAGAUUAAUAAAACCCUACUUUUGCUUUUGUGCGUGUGACUGGAAUUUGGGGGGGAUGAGUCUCCUGUCCUUGUGUGUCCGAGUCAGGGGAGGGAGUGAGACAGCCGGCGGCUGCUCACGGCCGGCAACGGCGCGGCGGCAGGCGGCGCUCAGUCCCUGUUCUGCCAGAAAACAAGAGAGGAGAGGAGAGAGUUUAGGAUUUCAGUUUUCAAAUAAAAAAAAAGAGAGAGAAAGGGGAGGACAGAGAGAAAAGGGGGAGAAACUUACCUAUUUCCGGUGGCGACGCGGCGGCAGAAGCACCACGGCUGCUGCUGUCGGCCAAAGGAGAAAGAGAGGCAGGGCAGUGGUGGCGCCGGAUCCGGAAAAGGAGGGCGCGGCCGCUGCUGCCCGGCCACGGCUGGAGAGAGAGAGAGGU
rnacentral:lncRNA from 1 species